UACGUAGGGUGCGAGCGUUGUCCGGAAUUACUGGGCGUAAAGAGCGCGUAGGCGGCGUGUCAAGUCAGGCGUGAAAGCCCCGGGCUCAACCUGGGAACCGCGCUUGAGACUGGCAUGCUCGAGUUCGGGAGAGGAUGGUGGAAUUCCCAGUGUAGAGGUGAAAUUCGUAGAUAUUGGGAAGAACACCGAUGGCGAAGGCAGCCAUCUGGACCGACACUGACGCUGAGGCGCGAAAGCGUGGGGAGCAAACAGG
rnacentral:rRNA from 1 species